rnacentral:lncRNA from 1 species
UUAGCAAUGCUGUUGGAUUGGAGGAUUGACAAGUUUCUAAUGGCGACGGUUGACAAUGGAAGUUUUCACAAUUUUUUGAAAAGAUACACCAAAAGUAGAAAGACCUAUAUCUUAAACCAUGAGUUCCUACAUGUUAGCUGUUGUGCACUCAUCUUGAAAAUUUAUUAGUGGGUGAAGGAUUGAAAAAGAUUGAUGGGUCAAUUAUAUGCUUUGUUAACAACAUUAUAUUUUGGCACUUGUUGAUGGUAACUUAGUACUUGGUAGCUAGAUUGCUAUAUCCUUGACAAGAUUUUUAUGAAUGGAACAACACUACUUGGCUAUUUUUAUUUUAAGCAAUGUUUAUGGAUUUUUGUUGAAAUUUUAGUGGUUAAUAGUUUUAUUCUUCGAUUUCUCCUGCUAGAUCCAUUGUGUUUCUACAUGUUGGGCCAAAUUGUGGAAUUGGUUUAGUUUGUAAUUGGGUUGGAUUAAAACAGCAAAGACCCAACUAGAUAAUAGUAAAAAGCUUGACCCAAAUGACAGCAACAAUAAUUUUUUAAAAGUUGGCUUGGGCCCAAAAUGUAAAAGUCCAACCCAAUUGUCCAUAAAAACCUGACAAAACCGAUUGACCCACCCCACCCCACCCCGAACACAAGUUGGGGUGUCACAUAUUGCGGUUGAGGGAGGGUGCUCCUUUAACUGAACCAGUCGGUUUGGUGCUACCAUGGGGCAUCGAUUACACCCAUACUAGAGGUAGUCUCAAUCAAACCUAGUUAGAAAUUGAAUAUUUUUUAAAUCAAUAACUUCUCAUUUGAGAAUUAGAAGACUGUUUAACUAUUCCCUAUGUAGCGUGUUAACAUGUGUACUUGCUAUGCAUUUCUACCAGAGUUGGUGUGGGUUAUUGAUUCUUUUAUAAAUAAAUUUUAAUCAAAUAUUGAUGUUAUAUGUACUGAAAUCUAUCAAAUUAUAGUGUGAUAAAAAUAUUUAUGAUCCCAAAAAGAAAGAAAGAAUGAAAGAAAGCAUUUGUCUAACUAUUUAUUAUCUAAUGGUAUUUUUAGACCAUGUAAAUUUCAAUUCAAGUUUUUGAAAAUCUAUAUCUCAUUGCAAUACGCUCCUAGCUCUAGAUACUUUGUAGAAAAGAAAAAAACGGUGUUGAAAAGCGUUUUUUUUUUACCAUUUGUUUUUAAAUUUUUUUUACCUUAAUUGUGUGAUGACAUUUUUUGGGAAUAAAUUUUUAGAUGACUUCAAUGAUUCAUCCAAAUUAUAAAGUCCGUGAAUUGCUUCUAGUCACAUAAUUGUAAUCUGAUUAUAUUUUUUUUGAUUAUUUAUAAUUAUAUAAAUAAAUAUUAACCAAGAACUUAAAUAAAAAGAUAUAUGCACUCUCUUAAGUUUCAAAUUGUAUAACUCAUAAACUAUAUAAAAUAACUGGAAUAUGUAUUGAAAAAUUUCUUAUUAUUUUGGGUUAACUACGUUGGGGUCUCGUUUUGAGCGUGAUGUUUAUAUUGGAGUCCUCAUUAUAAAUGGUUAUAACGUCUAAGCAAUAAUUAUUUAUGUGGGUGAAAAUGUUCAUAGUUUAGAUGAAAAGGAAAGAUUUGUUUGGAUUUAUACGUAUGUGUGCAUAUUAUGCAUACAUAUUUACUAGAUAAAGAUGUGUAUGCACGUGAAAUUACUAGAUACAAAGUUUAUUAAAAGGUAAAAAAAUAUAUAAUAAUAAUGAUCCAAACUACAUAUUAUAGUAAGGUUAUAUUUGCAUUGAACUCCCUUAACAAUUCUCUUCUGGUUUCUAAAAUAUCACUAAUCUCCUUUACAUUUAGAACUAUUAUCAAGAUUUUUCGUGGUGGUAAUUGUUUUGACAAAAAUGAUAAGAUUGCCUUUAAAUUUAGAUUUUGUGUAAGAUAAAAGAAAGAAGGUUGAAUAAUUAUCCCGACUCUAUAUUCAUUGAAGUGAAUGCUAAUCAUUUUUGUGUUUUUUUGUUGACUUCCCAAAAUCAAAACAGUAUGUUGCUGGUUGGUGGUUUUGCCUUCUUUGUGUGAAGCCUUCGUAUCAAUGAUCAUAUUUAGGUGGCAUUUCUAUAACUUAUCACCAUGUUUUUUUAUAUGCUUAUCCAAAAUAACUUAAAAAACCAGAUUUUCAAAAAGCUUUCCUUUUCUCACUACCCCAAUUAAAAUAGAUAGGUAUUCUUUUUUUUUUCUCCUUCCUCAGAACGCCCCCAUUUAUUCAUAAAUUACCCCAUAUUUACUUUUUUAUGAAUAGUUAUUUGUUUUAAAUAAUCAAAUUGCUACUUUUUAAAUACUCCUAAUCUAAACUACUUAAAAAAGAAAUGUUCUAAUCAUAUUUACCAAAAUCAUUAAAAAUAAUUUGGACAUUUAUUUUUUUCUUGUUAUACCACUAUUUAUUCAUAAACUACCUUAUUUUUAUUUUUUUCUCAACGAAUACUUUUUAUAAAAAAUAUACUAUCGAUAGUUUACAAAAGAUAGGGUAAUACUAAAGAUAGCUACUAUAUUUUUAUUUUUUAUGAAUGAGUAAUUUUUAGAAAAAAAAUAUGAUCUCAAUAAUUCACAAAAGAUAGGGUAUUACUAAAGAUAGUUUACAAAAAUUGGUAGUGUAUUACUAAAAGAAUUUUUAGUAUUUAUUACAAAAAAAAUAAUUAAAAAAAUGAUUGGUCAAAUAAUAAAAAAUGAAUAAAUAGGGGUGUUGUGAGAAAAAAAGAGAAGCUAUAUGUAUUUUAAUAAGUGUAUUAAGAAAUGAACCUGGGAAGUUCUAUGUCUAUGGGCAAUCUUCUCAUUUUUGUGAAAAAAAUUAAAUGCCAAAAAGAAAAAUUUUGACAAUAGUUUCAAAAAUAAGGAAGAUCGGUAGUAUUUUAGAAACUAUAUGGGAGUGGUGGUGUCUGGAAUCAGAAAGGUCAGGGGAGGUAAGUGAAAUUUACCAUAUUGACUUAUCCUAUAUUUCUUUUUAUAGGUGUAUAUUUACUGCCUAAAUAGGUGUCACUCAGCCCUAUUCGUAAUUAACCCAACAUUUGAGGAGAAUGAUUUUAAAAGCUAUCGGAGAAAAAUGGUGGAGAUAAUGAGAUACUUUUGUAUGUACAUGGCUAAGAUUGGACCGAUUCCUUAGAAAAUCAGGUACUAACGGUUUCACAAAAUUGGGAACAUGAACAAGUCCAAUUGCCUUUACGGACCAAACACUGAAUCGGGUUUUUAGGUUACGUCAUGGUUCUAAUAUGUGAAAGCAAAAUUUUGACAUCUAAUUGUGGGGUAGUGGGUUUGCAGAACGAUGGAAGGGAAAUCGAAGAUAGACACCUACGACAGUCCUGUUACUGGUAUGGGGUAUUGGCACCAGCCAAGACCAAGGUGAGCUCCGAAUUCUAUUGUAGGAGAUUUUUCGAAGUAUAUUUGGCAAAAAUAAGGAAAGGUUAGCCAAGCUCAAGUGAAAGCUUCGAACCCAAUCCCACAAGUUUUGCCAAAGUAUACUUUGCUAGAGUAGAAGAAUCAAAACACAGAAUAACAAGUCUUAUGCUAAUGAGCUGAAAAUCAAAAUAGAGUUCUAUUGCGAAAGCUUAAAGAAAAAUAAGUCUUUACAAGUUUGAACAAAGACAAAACAAAAAACUUUAGAGCUCGGGAGGGAGAUCUUGGCUAGUGUCUUCCCCAGCCUUUUUCGUGGUUUUUUCCCAGAUCCUUUUGCGGCUGAUCUCCCGGCUUCCUUCGAAAGGUUGGCAACGUCGUUGCCUGGAGCCACGACUGCUCAGGAGCAUCCUCAUCUUCCUCCAGCCGGUUCACGUACUCCUCCUCAUCAAAGCUGAGCAAGAUCAGGGGCGAAUAAGGCGUAAGAGAUUUGGGAACUCAGGAUCAGGAGUGGCCUUCGCCCAUGCUGGGUUGUCCUUAGGCAUGUCGAGCUUGGUUAAGCAAGCAAGCCACCCCUCCAGGAAAGCCUGUUGAAGACUCGCUCAUAGACAGGGCCACAUGCCACCGCCUGAAGCUCGACAAGAGUAGUCUUGUAUUGAGAUGAAGCAUUUGAAAAAUUUUAAAUUUUCAAAGAAGUUGAAAAUAUACUUGGAAAAAGAAUUCAAAGAAUUAGAUCUAAUAAAGAAGGUGAAUAUCGUUUAAAUGAAUAUAUUAGAAUUUUGUGAGACACAUGGAAAUAGUUAGAUAGAAGCUGCCCCCUAAUUCUCCCCCUCAAAUGGUAGUAGCAGAACGUAAAAAUAGAAAUUUAUUAAAAUGGUUAGUUGCCUAUGUUAAUUUCAUUCAAAAUUGCCUACGAAUUUUUAGGGUGAGGCUUUAUUUACUGCAUGCUAUACAACAAAUAGAAUCUUGCAUAAAAAUCAAGACAAAACCCCUUAUGAAAUGUGAAAAAAUCAUAAACCUAAUAUUGAUUAUUUUAGAGUUUGGGGUUGUAUUGCUUAUGUUUUGGAUGCUACACAAAAAAUGCCUAAAUUAGGAAGUAAAGCUAUUAAAAGUAUUUUCAUUGGUUAUUCAAAACAAAGUAAAGCAUCUAGAUUUUUAAAUUUGAUUCAAAUAGUAUUUUUGAAGCCACAAAUGCUAUUUAUUUUGAACACUUAACAAUUAAAGAUGCAAAUAGUCAUGAAUAGGAAAAAAACUUAAUAGAUAAGGUAAAUAAAAAUCAACCUAUGAAUAUUCAUAAUAAUGAAGAAAAUCCUUCUAAUGUAGUUAAUAAGGAAAACACUACUAAUUCUAAUGAAUUAAGAAUGAGUAAAAGACAAAGAAUUUAAAAAGACUUAGGACCAGAAUGUUUACUUAUCUUUUAGAGAGGAAUCCAAAACUUUUAAUGAGGCUAUGUCCUUACCUGAUCAGAUUAUGAACAAAGGCUCCGAUGAUGAACUUUAAAUCAUUCAUAUACUAAAUGACGCAUGAAACAAUAACAUUGUGUUCUACAUUUAAUCGAUAUCAAACAAUGAUAAACGUACAAGAAGAUAGAAUGGGAGGGGAAGUUUGGCUCCGCUGAAUCAGGAAAAAAGGGAGGGGGAAGUUCGGCUUCCGCCAGAUCGAAGUUGGAGAAGUAAAAACAACGUG